rnacentral:lncRNA from 1 species
GAUCACCCGGCGCCGUAUCUUCAGUCUGGAGCCGUUCCACCAGAGCAGCAUCAGCGGCGGCCGGCUGAAGAGAGCGAGGGAGGACGACAGGGAGGGAAACGGCCACAAGAAAACCACCAACGACGACGUGAAGAAGCUGAAGGUUUGCAUCGAGCUCAACGGCCUGCGACUCAACAAGCCCCGCCUCCCCGGGGAGCUCAGCCAAUGGCUGCCCUCUGGCCAGGCGCCUGCAGGGGGCGACAGGAAGCUCAGAGCCGUGGGAGCGGGGUCAGAGGUCAACGGAGGCUGGUGUGGCUCGCCGUUUGUGAGGAGGGAAGACCCGAGAGGUUUCCAGGUGGCGGCCGCGUCCUCCCGCCUGCAGGACAAACACCAGAAGCUGAGGGAGAGUCGCAGGGUCUCCGGCUUCAUCCCUUCCUUCCCUCCUCUUCCUCUUCCUCUUCCCUCGUCUUCCUCGCCGGACCCCACCAAGCCGAAGGGAAAGCGUCCGUGCAAGACGAAGCACACGGACGGAGCGGCGAAGGACGAGGAACGAGACGGAGGGAGCGACGAGGAGAC